rnacentral:tRNA from 1 species
GCAAUGGCAGUUCAGUGGUAGAAUUCUCGCCUUCCGUGCAGGAGACCGGGGUUCAAUUCCCAGCCAAGGUA